UUUCCAGUUGUAGUCAUUUUAAGUUCCUACAGAGAGCAGGUCCUGAUAGAGUCUAUGAAACACUCCACCCAUCCACGACAGAUGGAGACCAAGCCUACAGCACUCUUAAACACACCAUGAGGAGUGCAGGUCCUGAAGGAGUCUAUGAAAUGCUUCAACAAUCUACGAUGGAUCCAAAUCAAGUCUACAGCACUCUUUAAGACCUGAGUGUGCAAAAUGUAAAAUGGAGAAGAUUUCAUCUCUGAUAAGAGGAAG